GACAGAGGGGGCAAGCGUUGCUCGGAAUCACUGGGCUUAAAGCGUGCGUAGGCGGACAUGCAAGCAUGUUGUGAAAUCCCAUGGCUCAACCAUGGAACUGCUUCGUGAACUGCAUGUCUUGAGACAAGUAGGGGUGGUCGGAACGAUAGGUGGAGCGGUGAAAUGCGUAGAUAUCUAUCGGAACACCGAAGGAGAAGUCAGGCCACUGGGCUUGUUCUGACGCUGAGGCACGAAAGCGUGGGGAGCAAACGGG
rnacentral:rRNA from 1 species